GAUGAACGCUGGCGGCGUGCCUAAUACAUGCAAGUCGAGCGAACAGACGAGGAGCUUGCUCCUCUGACGUUAGCGGCGGACGGGUGAGUAACACGUGGAUAACCUACCUAUAAGACUGGGAUAAAUUCGGGAAACCGGAGCUAAUACCGGAUAAUAUAUUGAACCGCAUGGUUCAAUAGUGAAAGACGGUUUUGCUGUCACUUAUAGAUGGAUCCGCGCCGCAUUAGCUAGUUGGUAGGGUAACGGCUUACCAAGGCAACGAUGCGUAGCCGACCUGAGAGGGUGAUCGGCCACACUGGAACUGAGACACGGUCCAGACUCCUACGGGAGGCAGCAGUAGGGAAUCUUCCGCAAUGGGCGAAAGCCUGACGGAGCAACGCCGCGUGAGUGAUGAAGGUCUUCGGAUCGUAAAACUCUGUUGUUAGGGAAGAACAAAUGUGUAAGUAACUAUGCACGUCUUGACGGUACCUAAUCAGAAAGCCACGGCUAACUACGUG
rnacentral:rRNA from 1 species